rnacentral:rRNA from 1 species
AUUGAACGCUGGCGGCAGGCCUAACACAUGCAAGUCGAGCGGCAGCGGAAAGUAGCUUGCUACUUUGCCGGCGAGCGGCGGACGGGUGAGUAAUGUCUGGGAAACUGCCUGAUGGAGGGGGAUAACUACUGGAAACGGUAGCUAAUACCGCAUGACCUCGAAAGAGCAAAGUGGGGGAUCUUCGGACCUCACGCCAUCGGAUGUGCCCAGAUGGGAUUAGCUAGUAGGUGAGGUAAUGGCUCACCUAGGCGACGAUCCCUAGCUGGUCUGAGAGGAUGACCAGCCACACUGGAACUGAGACACGGUCCAGACUCCUACGGGAGGCAGCAGUGGGGAAUAUUGCACAAUGGGCGCAAGCCUGAUGCAGCCAUGCCGCGUGUGUGAAGAAGGCCUUAGGGUUGUAAAGCACUUUCAGCGAGGAGGAAGGCAUCACACUUAAUACGUGUGGUGAUUGACGUUACUCGCAGAAGAAGCACCGGCUAACUCCGUGCCAGCAGCCGCGGUAAUACGGAGGGUGCAAGCGUUAAUCGGAAUUACUGGGCGUAAAGCGCACGCAGGCGGUUUGUUAAGUCAGAUGUGAAAUCCCCGCGCUUAACGUGGGAACUGCAUUUGAAACUGGCAAGCUAGAGUCUUGUAGAGGGGGGUAGAAUUCCAGGUGUAGCGGUGAAAUGCGUAGAGAUCUGGAGGAAUACCGGUGGCGAAGGCGGCCCCCUGGACAAAGACUGACGCUCAGUGCGAAAGCGUGGGGAGCAAACAGG